ensembl:lncRNA
AGUUCGGCUGUUGAAGAAGAUCUGGAAAUAACCCAGAUACUGUGUGGGCAAGAUGACUUGGAGGUCUCCCAAGAAAUCUGUCUGGAACAUCCCAUAACUACAGUGCAAGAUUCAGAAGAAAAAUGGCUUCCCUGCAGUGCGGAAGCAAAACAUCUCAACAAUGGAGCUCCAGGAGGGGACUCUUUUGCGGCAAGAUCAUUUGCAGACAUCCAGGAUUUGUCCAGUAUCUCUGGCGAGAACAUGCACAGCCCAAAGGUUUAUAAAACUCCCAAGAGCACCCACUCACCAACUGAUGCCAGUACUCCGAUCAGCCCAGCCACGGCGCCGCCAAGGUUUUUCUCCACUGUCGUCAAAAGCAAGGAUCGCUGCGUGAUGAAGAUAGACACAACAUGUUGGCCUACCCAGGAAGGAUCAUUCUCAGGACUUAGUACCUUCACCACCGCCACUGAGAAAGGGAAGAGUGUGGAGCUGCCUUCUGCUGAUUUCCCAGAACUUGAUGACUCCUUGGUAGCCGACAUUCAGUCACUAGUUUGUAGGGGUCAGAAAAAAACAGAGAAUAAGCUUCCUUCCAUUCCACAGAGAGGAGUUCCUGAGCAAGGCGAUUCAAAAGAGCAAGAGCCAGAAGAAAUAACCCUGAACAAAUGCAAAGCUGAUUGCAGCCUCUGCAUCGACGAGACUUCAUGCCUCGAAGAAGAGACGGAAAGGGCUCAUUCAAGCCUAGACAACAUUUUGGAGUUAGUCCUCGGGCCGACUGCCGACAGCCGCAGCUCUCGCGAAAAGCCUCCGGACCCUGUCAAGAGCUUCCCGAGAAGAGUUGGAGGACAUGCAAAUACUCUGCGAGGCUGCAUAAAUUGGGUUCACGACUCCUGACCCGGGGUCUCCUGGCUUUAGAAAGAUGAAAGAGGAAGGACGCGGACCCAGAGGGCAGAUGGACACCUGGAGAAAGCUUUGGCGGCUUUUGCAAGGCAAGAUGGUUCAUCUCCUAAAAGCUCUUUUCUCUUAUUAUCCCUCUGGUCUGUGAAGACAAGUCCCCUAGGCCUCCCCUCCGGCUUUUCCGAGAUGAAAAGCUAGGCAGCACUAGAGGACGGUCAAGGUGACCGGAGCUGGUUUCCCUUUAGGGAUUGCUCACAGAACAACAAUUUUGCCUUCUGCAGCCUCUUAGGAUAAUAAUAAUAAUAAUAAUAAUAAUAAUAAUAAUAAUAAUAAUAAUAAGUAAAGCAAAGUGAAGAACCUGCUUUGAUUGAAGUCAAAAAUCAGAAACUCCUCAAAGCACAGCAGACAAAAAAUCAGUACAAGAAAACCGCACUACAAACUAGAGCUGACAGCUGGCACAACAAAACAUUGCAUGGAAAGUUCCUUGACAAAAUUGAAGGAAAAGCUGAUAAGGAGAAGACCUGGCUCUGGCUCACGAAUGGGACCCUGAAGAAGGAGACAGAAGGCCUGAUCUUUGCAGCCCAGGAGCAAGACAUCAGGACAAAGGCAAUCAAGGCCAAGAUCGAAAAAUCAGCUGAUGACCCAAAAUGCAGACUGUGCAAGGAAACCGACGAAACCAUUGAUCAUAUCCUCAGCUGCUGAAAGAAAAUUGCACAGACAGACUACAAACAGAGGCACAACUAUGUGGCCCAAAUGAUUCAUUGGAAUUUAUGCCUCAAGUACCACCUCCCAGCAGCAAAGAACUGGUGGGAUCACAAACCUGCAAAGGUUGUGGAAAAUGAGCACGCAAAGAUACUGUGGGACUUCCGAAUCCAGACUGACAAAGUUCUGGAACACAACACACCAGACAUCACAGUUGUAGAAAAGAAAAAGGUUUGGAUCAUUGAUGUCACCAUCGCAGGUGACAGUCGCAUUGACAAAAAACAACAGGAAAAACUCAGCCGCUAUCAGGACCUCAAGAUUGAACUUCAAAGACUCUGGCAGAAACCAGUGCAAGUGGUCCCGGUGGUGAUGGGCACAUUGGGUGCCGUGCCAAAAGAUCUCAGCCGGCAUUUGGAAACAAUAGACAUUGACAAAAUUACGAUCUGCCAACUGCAAAAGGCCACCCUACUGGGAUCUGCGCACAUCAUCCGAAAAUACAUCACACAGUCCUAGACACUUGGGAAGUGUUCGACUUGUGAUUUUGUGAAACGAAAUCCAGCAUAUCUAUCUUGUUUGCUGUGUCAUACGUCGUUGUGUCAAUAAUAAUAAUAAUAAUAAUAAUAAUUUAUUUAUACCCUGCUCCAUCUCGUGAAGGACUCGGGGUGGCUUACACUGGGACAAGCCCAAAACAGUAUUACAUCAAUAAAAACAAUAACACAAUAAAAUCACAGUAUAAUAAUACAUCUUACAAAAGUUAAAAUAACUUAAAAACAUAGGAUGGCCUCAUGUUACUGAAAAUCCCUUCCGUUCACACUAUCCCUUUGAGCAGGGGUCCUCAAACUUUUUAAGCCGAGGGCCGGUCCACAAUCCUUCAGACUGUUGAGGGGCCGGAUUAUCAUUUGAAAACAAUACAAACAAAUUCCGAUGCACACUGCAUAUGUCUUAUUUGUAGUGCAAAAACAACAACAACAACAAUGAAAGAACAAUACGAUAUUUAAAAAUAAAAACAAUUUUAACCAACCUACAUUUAUCAGGAUUUCAAUGGGAAGUGUGGUCCUGCUUCUGGCCAAUGAGAUAGUCAAGUUAAUUAGGGUUGUUGUUGUUGUUAUUGUUGUUGUUGUUGUUCUGUGCCUUCAAGUCAUUUCAGACUUUGGGUGAGCCUAAGUCUAAAAUUUAUUUAGUAUUUAUUUACUGCAUUUAUUUACUACAUUUGUAUCACACCCUUCUCACCCCAAAGGGGACUCAGAGUGGCUUACAAAUUAUAUGUACAUACAAUAUAUGAUAUUAUUAGCAUAGCACAAUAUUAGCAUUAUAUAUUACUAUAUUGAACUGUACCACUAUACUGUAAUAUUAUUAGUAAUGUUAUAUGUAACAUAGAAUAUAUAAUUAAUAUUAUUAUAUUGUAUUAUUAUUAGUGUUAUAUUGUAUUACAUUAUAAUAUUAUUAUCAAUAUUAUAUGUAUAUACAAUAUAUUAUAUUAUUAGCAUAGCACAAUAUUAGCAUUAUAUAUUACUAUAUUGAACUAUACCACUAUACUGUAAUAUUAUUAGUAAUAUUAUAUGUAAUAUAGAAUAUAUAAUUAAUAUUAUUAUAUGGUAUUAUUAUUAGUGUUAUAUUGUAUUACAUUAUAAUAUUAUUAUCAAUAUUAUAUGUAUAUACAAUAUAUUAUAUUAUUAGCAUAGCACAAUAUUAGCAUUAUAUAUUACUAUAUUGAACUAUACCACUAUACUGUAAUAUUAUUAGUAAUAUUAUAUGUAAUAUAGAAUAUAUAAUUAAUAUUAUU